rnacentral:rRNA from 1 species
AAAAGAAACUAACGAGGAUUCCCCUAGUAACUGCGAGUGAAGCGGGAAAAGCUCAAAUUUAAAAUCUGGCGGUCUUUGGCCGUCCGAGUUGUAGUCUGGAGAAGCGUCUUCUACGCCGGACCGUGUACAAGUCCCUUGGAACAGGGCGUCAUAGAGGGUGAGAAUCCCGUCCAUGACACGGACCGCCGGCGGUUUGUGAUGCGCUCUCAAAGAGUCGAGUUGUUUGGGAAUGCAGCUCAAAAUGGGUGGUAAAUUCCAUCUAAAGCUAAAUACUGGCGAGAGACCGAUAGCGAACAAGUACCGUGAGGGAAAGAUGAAAAGCACUUUGGAAAGAGAGUUAAACAGUACGUGAAAUUGCUGAAAGGGAAACGCUUGAAGUCAGUCGCGUCGGCCGGGGCUCAGCCUUGCAUUCGUUUGCUCGGUUUACUUCCCGGUCGACGGGCCAGCGUCGAUUUUGACCGUCGGAAAAGGGUCAGAGGAAAGUGGCACCUUCGGGUGUGUUAUAGCCUUUGGUCGCAUACGGCGGUCGGGAUCGAGGAACGCAGCACGCCUUCAUUGGCCGGGGCAUUCUUGCCCACGCAUCGUGCUUAGGAUGCUGGCGUAAUGGCUUUAAACGACCCGUCUUGAAACACGGACCAAGGAGUCUAACGUGCCUGCGAGUG